AUUGAACGCUGGCGGCAGGCCUAACACAUGCAAGUCGAGCGAGCGGCGGACGGGUGAGUAACACGUGGGUAACCUACACACAGAGGGGGAUAACACUUGGAAACAGGUGCUAAUACCGCAUACUGCGGGAUGGACCCGCGGUGCAUUAGCUAGUUGGUGAGGUAACGGCUCACCAAGGCCACGAUGCAUAGCAGACCUGAGAGGGGGAUCGGCCACACUGGGACUGAGACACGGCCCAGACUCCUACGGGAGGCAGCAGUGGGGAAUAUUGCACAAUGGGCGCAAGCCUGAUGCAGCCAUGCCGCGUGUAUGAAGAAGGCCUUCGGGUUGUAAAGUACUUUCAGUCGGGAGGCGUUACCGACAGAAGAAGCACCGGCUAACUCCGUGCCAGCAGCCGCGGUAAUAC
rnacentral:rRNA from 1 species